ensembl:miRNA
UUCCCUUCCACUUUAACAUGGGUGUGCUUUCUGUGAGUUUUAAAUAACAGAGUAAGUGCUUCCAUGUUUUAGUAGAAGU